rnacentral:rRNA from 1 species
UACGGGGGGGGCAAGCGUUGUUCGGAAUUACUGGGCGUAAAGGGCUCGUAGGUGGCCAACUAAGUCAGACGUGAAAUCCCUCGGCUUAACCGGGGAACUGCGUCUGAUACUGGAUGGCUUGAGUUUGGGAGAGGGAUGCGGAAUUCCAGGUGUAGCGGUGAAAUGCGUAGAUAUCGAGAGGAACACCUGCGGCGAAGGCGGGUUGCUGGGCUGACACUGACGCUGAUGCGCGAAAGCCAGGGGAGCGAACGGG